AGUGAAUCUACCUUCCGACAGCUCCUGGACAUACAGACAGAGGGGGUUUAAGAUCAAUAUGUGAACAGUGCUGGGCCACACCUGGCUGUGUGUUAGCUUCAUAUUCAUACUGGAUGUUCUGAAGGCACCUCUAAAGAUCUAUGAUUUGUAACAAGUAAUUUGACAAGUAAUACUCCAUAGUAUUUAUAAAGACAAUGUGUUCUUUUAUCACAGCUCUGCACCUGCAGCCUGUUAUCAGCCUGAUUCCACUAAUUCAAGUCUUCUCACUUUCUCUGAUUUGUGUAGGUGUGGGUUUUGGGGUUAUGACAAUAUAUGACUGAUUAUUUGACUUCUGGUAGUGUUUCCCCAGGUGAACGACCAACGUAGGAGGGCAAGAAAGGGGUGAGCGGGUUGGUGGAGGGAUGUGGGGUAGGCAGUCGUAAAUUGACUGUGGCAUUUGAUUGGGAGAAGCUUUUUAACCUGAGUUUAGUCCUUGAUAAUCAGGAGGAAUCCCAUAAGAACAGCAGAGGAAGGACGGACAGAGAGAGAGAGGAGGAGAGGAGGGACUACCAGAGAAAGAGGGACGUGUAGGAACAGCAGCUGAAUCCCAUUAUAUCAGACACUGUCAACAUGCAAUCCUCCACUCCCAUUUUCCAGUAAAACCUCCACUCCACCCACUGCUUCGCUCCAGCUAUCCCGAGCGAGAGGCAGCCCCAGCUGGGCUGAGGAUGCGUAGGACCUCCCCUCUCCUCCUGGCUCUCCUAGUACUCCUGCUGCUCCCACCACCCUCCCAACUGAGGAAGGCAGGCCAGGGAAGGCGGCUCAAAGUAGGCAGACGCCUCCUCAGACGGGACAGGGUGAGAGGUCAGGGGCGCCAGGGCAGGUCAGGAGACUCCAGGCAUCAGGUCCCUGAAUGCUCAGAGUACAGCGACUCUGAAGACCUCUUCGUGGACUGCCAAGGGCGAAAACUUUCCUCCAUCCCCACUGCCUCAUCCUGGUCACGGGCUCCAGACCACCUCCUGCUGGCCCGUAACCGUAUCCGGGCCCUCCACGACGGGGCCUUCUCUGGCUUCGAGGGCCUCAGGAGCCUGGACCUGCAGCAGAACCGGAUCUCAGUGUUGGAGGAGGGGGUGUUCCUGGGCCUGAUACACCUCACCACCCUUCUGCUGCAGCACAACCGUCUGGGCACGCUCAGCGAGGAGGCUCUCAUCCCCAUGCCAGCCCUGCGCUACCUGCGUCUCCAUGACAACCCCUGGAGCUGCCGCUGCACACUCGACAGUCUGGUUCGCACCCUGCAGGUGCCCAGCAACCGUAACCUGGGGAACCAUGCCAGGUGUGCGGAGCCAGUUGGGCUGAGGGGCAGGAAGCUGAGACAGGUGGACCCAGAGCUGCUGUGUGUGGAGCUGGAGCCUCCCAGCGACCCCCCAGACCCGCAGUGGGAGGACCAGAGGGACUCCACAUACCCUCUGCAGCCCAUCCCCAUCAGGGGCAAGCCUGACGCCACCACCUCCUGCCAUACCUACCUGUUCCCCACACCCCGACUGGACUGCAGAAGCAGAGAUCUGGCGGAGGUUCCUGCAGACAUCCCAGGGGACAUGGUUCACAUGGACCUGUCCCAAAAUACCCUCCGGCGCCUGAAGGCCAGAGACUUUGUGGAGGCCAGAAGCCUAAGGUCACUCAAUCUCAGCGACAACAACUUGGAGGACAUGGACACAGGUGUGUGUCCUCCCUGUCUGGCCUUCUCCACCUCCAUGAGUUGGACCUUUCCAACAACAACCUGCACUUCUUCCACUAUGGUGUUCUAGAAGACCUCUAUUUCCUGUCCCUGCUAAGGUUGGGGGGAAACCCCUGGGUCUGUGACUACAGCAUCCACUACCUGGUGUACUGGCUACGUCUGCACCCAGGGGUGAGCCACUCUGGCCUGCUGUGCCACUCCCCUCCUGAGCUCAGAGGAAAGAGUGUGGAGGACUAUGUUCACUCCUACAACAGAGCCUGCAGCCAGACAGAGCACAGUCAGACGGAAUACGGCCAGACAGAUCCAGAAUUGUGGGUCACAUCUAUGGAGCUGCAGGAGGAGAUGGAACCGGCACAUCUGAGAGGACAGCAGAAAUACCACGUCACCAGGUUGAAUUAACAAACUACCCCAGGAUGGAAUGACUGACACAUUGAACACAUUUAAAUACGUUGUCUUUUUAUAGAGCAUUCAAAUUAAUUCUGUAUCAGAUGGUAAACUUGAACUUUGUUCAAUAUUGUUGUUCCUGCUUUGUCCCAAAAAACAAGAAAUAACAAUCCAAGUAGAUAUAUUGGAUUGAGCAUAUGUGAGAAUCCAGAAUAUAAAUGUGGUGUGUAUAGACCGUAUAUAAUUUGGGAAAGAAAAUGGUAUGUACAGUAUUAGGAUGAGCUAUAUCUAGAAUACAAUAUAUACAUACACAGUGAGUAAACAACAGUAUAUAAAACAGAAUAUGAGGUGACCAGCAUUCAAUACAUAUUUUUGGGGCGGCAGGUAGCCUAGUGGUUAGAGCUUUGGGCCAGUAACCCGAAAGGUUGCUGGAUCGAAUUGACAAGGUAAAAAUCUGUCCUUCUGCCCCUGAACAAGGCAGUUAACCCACUGUUCCUCGGUAGGCCGUCAUUGUAAAUAAGAAUUUGUUCUUAACUGACUUGCCUAGUUAAAUAAAAAUGGCUCUACAUAAAUGGGGCAUUAGUCUGUAGGCCUUGAUGUACUGCAGGUCUACUCAAACCUUUCACCCAUACGGUUUAUGCCAUUUUGCACUCCCAUUGUGAGUCAAUCUGAAGCCAUUUCAUUUUGAGAGCACACAGCAGAACAAUCUCUCUGCCCCCAUUCCUCUUGCUAUUUCCCACAAUUAUAUUAAGAUUUUGCCUUCAAAAAAAAAAUACUGAACAAACUGUCAAAGCAUUUAGGAGCCCUGCUCCUUUCCCAAACAUAGUCAUGGCCCAGGAAUAUUUAUUUGGCAAGAUGUUUGAUUAAAAAAAAAAAAGGCAUAGUAAUCUCUGCCAAGAAAUACGCCUUUGUGCCAUAGCUACUCUGUAACUGCUAGAUUCCUACAGAAUGGUCCCAGACAAAACAGUCCUGUAUAAUACUAUUAUAGGUAUGCAUUUAUUUUAUAUGACCCAUUUCCUAGCAUACCCCCACACUAAACAUGAACCACUGCUGAUUAGUUUCCCUGCGGUUACAACACCCCUGGCCCUACAAAUCAAAAACAAGUCACUAAAAAUGUCCUUUGCUAGCAGACAUAAAACAUACAGGGGUACUUGUUAUGGGGUAACUGCUUUCAGAAAUGGGUCCAAUGACACUAUCAUCCAGAGAACGAGAGAGCCAUUCCAUCCACAUAAACCCAAUUCAAAAUAAAAUAAAUUAGAGUGCGCGAACGCUGGAAAUAGAAUGCAUAUAGUGUGUGAUGACGGCCCAUGUACAAUUAGCACAAGAUGCUGCGCGGUGAAACACCACUUCCCAUUCAUUUCAAUGGGGGGGAGCGGUGAGAACCGGAGAGGUCGUGGGUCCUUUGGGCGGUGCAAAGGUGGCGUGGGAGGCGGUGAAACAUAAACUUUUCCCAAAUGUAUGGAAAGUCAGCAGCGGUGACCAAUCAUAACGAGUGGCUCCCAUGACGAAUUUGACACUAUUCGACCCAAGGCUGGAGACUUUCUUUAGCAAAGACGGCUGACAAAAAUACUAGGAUGGAAGCAAAUGUAAGUGAUUAUAACGCCAUAACAAAUCAUGCAAAAAAAGUUAAUGUAGAGACAAACGAUUAUGCAUUUUUUUGUCGUAAAGUUUAUUUACGAAAAUCGCGAUUUGACUGUCUAACAUUCGCCAGCUAGCUGGCUAGCGUUAUGGGUGUUGUGACAUGAGUAUGAAAUUGUCAUUCUGGCUGUAUGGACUCCUGAAACAACCAACAAACCAGGCUGUCGUCUUGUGAAACAGUGGAUGUAAAGAAUCUAGCUAGCUAAAGCAUUUACUGCACAUUUAAUGUACAAUUGUGUAAGCUUGCCUUGCUGAUAUUUGCCAUGCAAUACAGAUAGGUUAAAUAAAGUAGCUAGUUAACUCAUUUCUUGCUUAUUGUGCAAUGGAGAAUU